GGGUUGUGAGGUUAAGCGACUAAGCGUACACGGUGGAUGCCCUGGCAGUCAGAGGCGAUGAAGGACGUGCUAAUCUGCGAUAAGCGUCGGUAAGGUGAUAUGAACCGUUAUAACCGGCGAUUUCCGAAUGGGGAAACCCAGUGUGUUUCGACACACUAUCAUUAACUGAAUCCAUAGGUUAAUGAGGCGAACCGGGGGAACUGAAACAUCUAAGUACCCCGAGGAAAAGAAAUCAACCGAGAUUCCCCCAGUAGCGGCGAGCGAACGGGGAGGAGCCCAGAGCCUGAAUCAGUGUGUGUGUUAGUGGAAGCGUCUGGAAAGGCGCGCGAUACAGGGUGACAGCCCCGUACACAAAAAUGCACAUAUUGUGAGCUCGAUGAGUAGGGCGGGACACGUGGUAUCCUGUCUGAAUAUGGGGGGACCAUCCUCCAAGGCUAAAUACUCCUGACUGACCGAUAGUGAACCAGUACCGUGAGGGAAAGGCGAAAAGAACCCCGGCGAGGGGAGUGAAAAAGAACCUGAAACCGUGUACGUACAAGCAGUGGGAGCACAGAGCUCGGCGUGUGACUGCGUACCUUUUGUAUAAUGGGUCAGCGACUUAUAUUCUGUAGCAAGGUUAACCGAAUAGGGGAGCCGAAGGGAAACCGAGUCUUAACUGGGCGUUAAGUUGCAGGGUAUAGACCCGAAACCCGGUGAUCUAGCCAUGGGCAGGUUGAAGGUUGGGUAACACUAACUGGAGGACCGAACCGACUAAUGUUGAAAAAUUAGCGGAUGACUUGUGGCUGGGGGUGAAAGGCCAAUCAAACCGGGAGAUAGCUGGUUCUCCCCGAAAGCUAUUUAGGUAGCGCCUCGUGAAUUCAUCUCCGGGGGUAGAGCACUGUUUCGGCAAGGGGGUCAUCCCGACUUACCAACCCGAUGCAAACUGCGAAUACCGGAGAAUGUUAUCACGGGAGACACACGGCGGGUGCUAACGUCCGUCGUGAAGAGGGAAACAACCCAGACCGCCAGCUAAGGUCCCAAAGUCAUGGUUAAGUGGGAAACGAUGUGGGAAGGCCCAGACAGCCAGGAUGUUGGCUUAGAAGCAGCCAUCAUUUAAAGAAAGCGUAAUAGCUCACUGGUCGAGUCGGCCUGCGCGGAAGAUGUAACGGGGCUAAACCAUGCACCGAAGCUGCGGCAGCGACACUGUGUGUUGUUGGGUAGGGGAGCGUUCUGUAAGCCUGUGAAGGUGUGCUGUGAGGCAUGCUGGAGGUAUCAGAAGUGCGAAUGCUGACAUAAGUAACGAUAAAGCGGGUGAAAAAGCCCGCUCGCCGGAAGACCAAGGGUUCCUGUCCAACGUUAAUCGGGGCAGGGUGAGUCGACCCCUAAGGCGAGGCCGAAAGGCGUAGUCGAUGGGAAACAGGUUAAUAUUCCUGUACUUGGUGUUACUGCGAAGGGGGGACGGAGAAGGCUAUGUUGGCCGGGCGACGGUUGUCCCGGUUUAAGCGUGUAGGCUGGUUUUCCAGGCAAAUCCGGAAAAUCAAGGCUGAGGCGUGAUGACGAGGCACUACGGUGCUGAAGCAACAAAUGCCCUGCUUCCAGGAAAAGCCUCUAAGCAUCAGGUAACAUCAAAUCGUACCCCAAACCGACACAGGUGGUCAGGUAGAGAAUACCAAGGCGCUUGAGAGAACUCGGGUGAAGGAACUAGGCAAAAUGGUGCCGUAACUUCGGGAGAAGGCACGCUGAUAUGUAGGUGAAGUCCCUCGCGGAUGGAGCUGAAAUCAGUCGAAGAUACCAGCUGGCUGCAACUGUUUAUUAAAAACACAGCACUGUGCAAACACGAAAGUGGACGUAUACGGUGUGACGCCUGCCCGGUGCCGGAAGGUUAAUUGAUGGGGUCAGCGCAAGCGAAGCUCUUGAUCGAAGCCCCGGUAAACGGCGGCCGUAACUAUAACGGUCCUAAGGUAGCGAAAUUCCUUGUCGGGUAAGUUCCGACCUGCACGAAUGGCGUAAUGAUGGCCAGGCUGUCUCCACCCGAGACUCAGUGAAAUUGAACUCGCUGUGAAGAUGCAGUGUACCCGCGGCAAGACGGAAAGACCCCGUGAACCUUUACUAUAGCUUGACACUGAACAUUGAGCCUUGAUGUGUAGGAUAGGUGGGAGGCUUUGAAGUGUGGACGCCAGUCUGCAUGGAGCCGACCUUGAAAUACCACCCUUUAAUGUUUGAUGUUCUAACGUGGACCCGUGAUCCGGGUUGCGGACAGUGUCUGGUGGGUAGUUUGACUGGGGCGGUCUCCUCCUAAAGAGUAACGGAGGAGCACGAAGGUUGGCUAAUCCUGGUCGGACAUCAGGAGGUUAGUGCAAUGGCAUAAGCCAGCUUGACUGCGAGCGUGACGGCGCGAGCAGGUGCGAAAGCAGGUCAUAGUGAUCCGGUGGUUCUGAAUGGAAGGGCCAUCGCUCAACGGAUAAAAGGUACUCCGGGGAUAACAGGCUGAUACCGCCCAAGAGUUCAUAUCGACGGCGGUGUUUGGCACCUCGAUGUCGGCUCAUCACAUCCUGGGGCUGAAGUAGGUCCCAAGGGUAUGGCUGUUCGCCAUUUAAAGUGGUACGCGAGCUGGGUUUAGAACGUCGUGAGACAGUUCGGUCCCUAUCUGCCGUGGGCGCUGGAGAACUGAGGGGGGCUGCUCCUAGUACGAGAGGACCGGAGUGGACGCAUCACUGGUGUUCGGGUUGUCAUGCCAAUGGCACUGCCCGGUAGCUAAAUGCGGAAGAGAUAAGUGCUGAAAGCAUCUAAGCACGAAACUUGCCCCGAGAUGAGUUCUCCCUGACCCUUUAAGGGUCCUGAAGGAACGUUGAAGACGACGACGUUGAUAGGCCGGGUGUGUAAGCGCAGCGAUGCGUUGAGCUAACCGGUACUAAUGAACCGUGAGGCUUAACCUUACAACGCCGAAGGUGUUU
rnacentral:rRNA from 1 species